GUUAUGUCCAAACCAGGCAUCAUGGUUUGUUUCACUCCUAGCAAACCAUAAUAUGUAGUCGUGGUUUGUUCUUGACUUACUUAUUAUGGUUUGUUUGGGAGUGAAACAAACCAAGAUAAUCUGGUUUGAAUGUACCAUAAUAAC